AACCAUAGAAACCUGCGGAGUACCUGCGGAGGGAUCAUUACAGAGUUCAUGCCCUCACGGGUAGAUCUCCCACCCUUGAAUACUAUACCUUUGUUGCUUUGGCGGGCCGCUUUGGCUACUGGCUCUGGCUAGUAAGUGCCCGCCAAAGAACCCCAAAACUCUGAAUAUUAGUGUCGUCUGAGUACUAUAUAAUAGUUAAAACUUUUAACAACGGAUCU
rnacentral:misc_RNA from 1 species